rnacentral:rRNA from 1 species
GGGUUAGUAGGUCGGUCAUGCCUCUGGUAUGUACUGGUCUCACUGAUUCCUCCUUCCUGAUGAACCUUAAUGCCAUUAAUUUGGUGUUUUGGGGAAUUUGGACUGUUACUUUGAAAAAAUUAGAGUGCUUAAAGCAGGUUAUUGCCUGAAUACAUUAGCAUGGAAUAAUGAAAUAGGACGGCAUGGUUCUAUUUUGUUGGUUUUAGGAUCAACGUA